rnacentral:rRNA from 1 species
CCCUUCCGCACUCUAGCCUUGCAGUAUCAGAUGCUGUUCUUCCGUUAAGCAGAAGGCUUUCACAACUGACUUACAAAGCCGCCUACGUGCUCUUUACGCCCAAUAAUUCCGAACAACGCUUGCCGCCUCUGUAUUACCGCGGCUGCUGGCACAGAGUUAGCCGUGGCUUCCUCCGGAGCCUUAGUCAAGUAAGGAUACUAUUAACACCCUUA